ACGAACGCUGGCGGCGUGCCUAAUACAUGCAAGUCGAGCGAAGUUUUUCUGGUGCUUGCACUAGAAAAACUUAGCGGCGAACGGGUGAGUAACACGUAAAGAACCUGCCUCAUAGACUGGGACAACUAUUGGAAACGAUAGCUAAUACCGGAUAACAGCAUUAACUGCAUGGUUGAUGUUUAAAAGUUGGUUUUGCUAACACUAUGAGAUGGCUUUGCGGUGCAUUAGCUAGUUGGUGGGGUAAAGGCCUACCAAGGCGACGAUGCAUAGCCGACCUGAGAGGGUGAUCGGCCACACUGGGACUGAGACACGGCCCAGACUCCUACGGGAGGCAGCAGUAGGGAAUCUUCCGCAAUGGGCGAAAGCCUGACGGAGCAACGCCGCGUGAGUGAAGAAGGAUUUCGGUUCGUAAAGCUCUGUUGUUAGGGAAGAAUGAUUGUGUAGUAACGAGACACAGUAGAGACGGUACCUAACCAGAAAGCCACGGCUAACUACGUG
rnacentral:rRNA from 1 species